AUUGAACGCUGGCGGCAGGCUUAACACAUGCAAGUCGCGCGAGCGGCGGACGGGUGAGUAAUGUCUGUGAAACUGCCUGCUGGAGGGGGAUAACUACGGGAAACGGUAGCUAAUACCGCAUAACAUCAGAUGUGCCCAGAUGGGAUUAGCUAGUAGGUGGGGUAAUGGCUCACCUAGGCGACGAUCCCUAGCUGGUCUGAUAGUAUGACAAGCCACACUGUAAGUGAGACACGAUCCAUCCUCCUGCGUGAGGCAGCGGGGGGGAAUAUUGCACAAUGGGCGCAAGCCUGAUGCAGCCAUGCCGCUUGUGGGAAGAAGGCCUUCGGGUUGUAAAGCACUUUCAGCGAGGAGGCAUUACUCGCAGAAGAAGCACCGACUAACUCCGUGCCAGCAGCCGCGGUAAUAC
rnacentral:rRNA from 1 species